rnacentral:rRNA from 1 species
AGAGCGAACGCUGGCGGCAGGCUUAACACAUGCAAGUCGAGCGGGCGUAGCAAUACGUCAGCGGCAGACGGGUGAGUAACGCGUGGGAACAUACCUUUUGGUUCGGAACAACCCAGGGAAACUUGGGCUAAAUACCGGAUAAGCCCUUACGGGGAAAGAUUUAUCGCCGAAAGAUUGGCCCGCGUCUGAUUAGCUAGUUGGUGAGGUAACGGCUCACCAAGGCGACGAUCAGUAGCUGGUCUGAGAGGAUGAUCAGCCACAUUGGGACUGAGACACGGCCCAAACUCCUACGGGAGGCAGCAGUGGGGAAUAUUGGACAAUGGGCGCAAGCCUGAUCCAGCCAUGCCGCGUGAGUGAUGAAGGCCCUAGGGUUGUAAAGCUCUUUGUGCGGGAAGAUAAUGACGGUACCGCAAGAAUAAGCCCGGCUAACUUCGCGCCAGCAGCCGC